UACAGAGGUCCCAAGCGUUGUUCGGAUUCACUGGGCGUAAAGGGUGCGUAGGCGGUCGGGUAAGUCUGACGUGAAAUCUUCAAGCUCAACUUGGAAACUGCGUCCGAUACUAUUCGGCUAGAGGAAUGGAGGGGAGACUGGAAUACUUGGUGUAGCAGUGAAAUGCGUAGAUAUCAAGUGGAACACCAGUGGCGAAGGCGAGUCCCUGGACAACUCCUGACACUGAGGCACGAAAGCUAGGGGAGCAAACGGG
rnacentral:rRNA from 1 species